rnacentral:rRNA from 1 species
UACGAAGGGGGCUAGCGUUGCUCGGAAUGACUGGGCGUAAAGCGUGCGCAGGCGGUUUUGCAAGACAGAUGUGAAAUCCCCGGGCUUAACCUGGGAAAUGCAUUUGUGACUGCAAGGCUAGAGUACGGCAGAGGGGGGUAGAAUUCCACGUGUAGCAGUGAAAUGCGUAGAUAUGUGGAGGAAUACCGAUGGCGAAGGCAGCCCCCUGGGUCGAUACUGACGCUCAUGCACGAAAGCGUGGGGAGCAAACAGG